rnacentral:snRNA from 1 species
CCCGGGCGGAGCGGCCGUCGG